GACUAUACAGAGCUUGUGUGAUUUCUGUGAAUCCCCUGAUUGUAUUUCAUCUCGUGCACAAGUUUACGUCACCCCCUACUGCGAGUACAUUUCUCUCUCCGGUACCCACGGGCUAUCUACCACAAAGAUUCGCAGCGCAGCCAUUUUGUGAUAUUGUUUCAAAAUUUUAACUUUGGUUUUUUGCUAAUUUUUUUUCAGUGCUUUUUGUUAGGAAUCUGUUUUUUGAAAAAUGUCUGAAAACCAAGGAAAAAGCAACAACUGGGCUUGGAUAGUUGGGACUGGAGUUGCAGCCCUAGCUGGAGUUGCUGUUGCUGCUGCUACUAUAAUGAAUAAUCAACCUGCUGAGUAUAGUCCUGUUCCUCGAAGACGUGUUAAUCAGGUUACACGCCCAUCUCGUCCAGGAAGUAGUGUUUCACGUAUGAUGACCAACACAACAUCAGGACAAGUAGACCUCGAAGAAGAUUUCGACAAAGCUUCUACUGCAUCUUCUGAAGUAGAUGGACAGCCGCAAAAAAGUUGUAGGAUAUGCUUUCGACGUCUGAGUAUACUUCCUGUGGAAUAUUUGCCAUGUUCACAUGUUUUCCAUGAAGCGUGCGUCGGAAAAUGGAUGGAAGCCAAUCCUCACAACAAAACUUGUCCUAUAUGCCGAAUAAGUAUUAACUAGCAAGCUGUUUCAUAUAUUGGUCAUGGUUAAUAUAAUGUUUUUUUAACUAAUCAAUAUUCCAUGUACUUUUUACUUCUGCCGAAUCUGUGUAAUGAUUGAAAAAUUAUUAAAAAUUGUUUCACACGCA